rnacentral:rRNA from 1 species
AAAAGCUCGUAGUUGAAUUUCUGUUACGACGAGUCGGCCGGCUCUUCGGAGUUGUAGCUAGAUUUCGUUGUAGCAUCUUGGCGUAAUUACCGCUGGCAUUCAUUUGUUGGUGUGUAGGACCGCCUCGUUUACUUUGAGAAAAUUUGAAUGUUCAAAAUAAACUAUUGUUUUGAAAAUAUUAGCAUGGAAUAAUAAUAUAGGACUUUUGGUUCUAUUUUGUUGGUUGUUCGAGAACCAAAGUAAUGAUUGAUAGGGACAGUCGGGGGCAUCAGUAUUCUGAAGCGAGAGGUGAAAUUCUUGGACCUUCGGAAGACUAACAGCUGCGAAAGCGUUUGCCUAGGAUGUUCUCUUUAAUCAAGAACGAAAGUUGGGGGAUCGAAGACGAUCAGAUACCGUCGUAGUCUCAACUAUAAACUAUGCCAGCUAGGGAUGAGUGGAUGUUUAAUUACGACUCCAUUCGCACCUUAUGAGAAAUCAAAGCAUUUGGGUUCCGGGGGGAGUGUGGUCGCAAGGCUGAAACUUAAAGGAAU